GGGGCGGAUCUACAAUCAAGAAAGGGGUUCCCAGGAACCUGUUCGGUUUGUAGUUUAUAGUGUUAAGUUAAAUAAAAAAUACUGAAGGAACCCCUUAAUAUUUUGAAAAGGAACCCAUAAACAAAUUUGUGUGGUGAUCAGUUGGUUAAGCGCCUCCUAAAGAAAGUUGAAGUCCCAAGUUCGAGUCCUUUCGGUAGCUUUUUUUUUGCGUUCUUGGAAGAUGGGAAGAUUAAAAGACAAUCAAUCACAUUUACUGCUAAUAACAGACACCAUUUAUUAUUCUUGGUGGAAUAUUCACACUAUUGUUUGAUCAUCAUUCUUCGUCUACUUCAUCAAAGAGGUUUGAAUAUCUUAGUUUGAAACUCAAACUAUCUCGACCCUAAAAUAAUGAUGAAACAUUAGCUGAAGCCAUUUUGCAGCUGAUGAUGAUAUUCUGGUAUCAUCACAACCAUAUGGCUUUUGUCAAGGGUGCAGUUGUGUGCCGAAUCAUUAUAGGUAUAAACCUCUAAAAGAGAGGAUAUCAUCAUCAUACUCAGUAAAUCCAAUAAAUAGCAAAACUAAGGUAGGGUCUGAGGAGGGUAAGAUGUAGACAGCCUUACCUCUACCCCGUAGGAAUAGAGAAGCUGCUUCCCAUGAUCAUCAUACACAGUAAAUCCAAUCAAUAGCAAAACUAAGGUAGGGUCUGAGGAGACAACCUUACCUCUACCUCGUAGGAAUAGAGACGUUGCUUCCCAUGAGACUAUACCCGACCCGACGACCCGAUUUUUUUUUAUGUUCGGAGAUAUGAAAUUGGAACAUUAAAAGUGAACCCCUUAGAAAAGAUUCCUGGAUCCGC
rnacentral:lncRNA from 1 species